CAGGGAGAGAGCAUGGGGAGAGCAUGUGAGAAUGAGUGAGGAGAGAAUGUGAGGUGUGUGUGAAGACUGUGUGUGUGUGUGACAGGAGAGUGCAUGUGGUGUGUGUGAGAUAUGUGUGAGCUGUGUAUGAAGAUUGUGUGUGUGCGUGACAGGAGAGUGCAUGUGUUGUGUGUGAGAUAUGUAUGAGGUGUGUAUGAAGAGUGUGUGUGUGCGUGACAGGAGAGUGCAUGUGGUGUGUGUGAGAUAUGUAUGAGGUGUGUAUGAAGAGUGUGUGUGUGCGUGACAGGAGAGUGCAUGUGGUGUGUGUGAGAUAUGUGUGAGGUGUGUAUGAAGACUGUGUGUGUGCGUGACAGGAGAGUGCAUGUGGUGUGUGUGAGAUGUGUGAGGUGUGUGUGAAGAGUGUGUGUGUGCGUGACAGGAGAGUGCAUGUGGUGUGUGUGAGAUAUGUAUGAGGUGUGGAUUCAAAAAAUGUGGUACAU
ensembl:lncRNA